rnacentral:ncRNA from 1 species
AAAAUGUUAGACUUAUACAAUAAAUGUACAUAAUAGAAUAUUAUAUGGAAAUGAGGUUAGAUUCCUCUACGGCCCCGCCACUGUAAAUUUGACGAAACUAUUAAUACCACUGGAUAUAUCUGGGAAGGAAUAGGAGUAGGAGGAUAAGAGUCAGGAUACUUAUAAUAUUUGUACUUCGAGG